UCAAGCCACAUCCUCUCCCAUUGCCCUUCACCUGAGACAAGCUGCGCAAAGUGGCCUAACCCCUUCCUUUUAGUGGUGAGCUGCAGCAAAUCUGUCUGGUUUGUCAGGUUUGAUAUUCCUUGGGAAGCCACUCUUUUUCUCCCUGCUAAGAAAUUGGCAAGAAGUCUCAGAUAAUCCUGAGUACACUACAGGAGCAGUGAUCUAAAUGCAUGGUACAGAAAAGGUGUAAAUUACACAAGGUGGCAAGCAGGACAUGGGGACCUGCAGCAGCUUGCUGAUGAUCCUGGAACUGCUCAGUAAAUGAACCCAGGAGGAGACUGGUGUAUCUGGAUCCCAUCUCUCUUAGCUCAAACAGCUAAAAAAUUAUUUCUGGAUUGCAGGUAAAGCAGGACAAUAUGAGAAAAGGCUGCAGAGCAGUUGGCGGGCAGAUCCAGGAGCCAGGGCAGUGACCUGGGAUGUGGCUGAGUUCCUCCUUUCGCCACAGCCUCCCCAACAUGACUGUAAGCCUCCCUGUCAAGUUGUCGCAGUUCCUCAUCUCCAAACUGGGGGCAGUGGGGGUAGCAAUAGUACCUUGCAACACGGGGUGAGUAGGGAGAGGAGGAGCUCCCAGUAGGCACCAUGAAGCUACGUGGGCCAUGGGAAUACUUCAGCACCUUUCAGAGGACGGUGCAGGGAGGCUCGUGGCCUGAGCAGAAAAGCAAGUCCAUGUGUGCACCACUGCAAAUGUACAGAUGGGAAAUUUCUGCACUUUCACUGCACAGUAUUUAGGGCUCUACAAAUCAAAGAAGGUUGUGGUGCACUAAACUUAUCCUGAAUGAGGCCCAGGUUACUUUUACUACAGAUCUGAGGAGGUGGUAGGGGAAACAUGUCUUAUUCCUGCCAUAUCUCCCAAAUUUUGUGCUUUCAACACUCCUGCUUUCUCUCUUCCUUUCUGACAUUCACCCUUUCUUUCCCUCAUUCUUUCUUCUUUCCAUUUACUCUUCCUGCCCAUCUCCUUCCCUCCCCCUUCUUUUAAGACCCUUCCAAACAGUGCACUUGUCACAAGCUGCAAUCUAAGGGAGAAAGUUUCAGUUCCUGCCAGUUUGCAGCAUCUUUCUCCCUGGGUCAGCAAAAAAUAAAAAAAAAAUAAUAAAAAAAAAUUUUAAAAGAGACAACUUUUAAGAAGAGAUCAACACCCCACCCAGGCGAUAGGCAUCUUUCGAAAUCCUCCAACCCAAACACACCCACAGAGCCUCUCCCUUCAAGGCUCUUCUGUUCAGGCUGCUUCUGUACUAUAGAGCUCCCUCAAGAAGAGCCCGUAAGAACUGCACAAGGGUCCCCCAAAGCCGGAAAGCCAACCUUCUGCUGUCUAAGAUUUGAGAAACUGUGCGAGUCACCUCAAGGGGCUUGAAAGAGGCUUGGUUUAUCUUUGCAGAGGCCGAAGGACCGGCCGCUCGGAUGAGGGGAAGGAGGGGGAGCCGCUCUCCAAGUUCCAGCAGCGUCCUCCGUUGCUCAAGGCCACCAGAGAUUUUUUUAUUAAUGCGUUUUCCAGUCACAGGCAAAAAAAUUAAGGAGAGAAAACCGUAAAUACAAUUCGGUCGCGGCAGGCAGAGAGAGAAAAUAAAAAGUCUGGCGAUUAAAACGUACUUAGAACAUACUUCGGCCCCUCUCCUUCACGCCUCUCAGCACGGAGCGUGAGACGAGGGUCCAGUCCCUGCCAGAAAUGAGCGACCUGGCGAGCCCCUGACGUGCAAUCUCUUUCAUUCAAACGGGAGCGAUCACCAGAAAAAAAGCGACGCGCUUUCCUUUUUCCGGGAAAAGCUGAAACCCUCCAAAGAACCCGAGGAAAGGAGACAAUACCCGCCUGUACAGCUCACCCGCUUCCCCCCACACACACCCCUUGCAAAAAUAACAAGCGGCUAACAGCGGAACACAUCAUGCAACGCUUUGGGCGUCCUUUUAUGCCCCACUUCUGCAAACGGCUGCAGACCGAGGAAAAGAGCGGAGGGUGGAAUAAAAAAGGAGGGUGAAGCCAAGAAAGAAUAGUGUCAAGGCAGGAGGACACCCCUGCACGUCAGAUCUCUCGAUGGAGAGGAUUACCUUGUCCAGUGCCAGUUGUGUCCAGUCUUUUUGUUUCCCCCUGUCUUUAGUCCAACCACGGGGGGGGGGGGGGGGGGGGGGGGGGGGAUAUCAAAAUUAUAUCCAAAGUUAUUCUGCACCCGCCCCUUCCAAAAGGGAAAUGCAAUAAUGCCACUAGUGUUUCUACUCGGCUGCGGCAGAGAUGCCUUAUUAAUACUUUAUUUCUCCAAGACCAGAGCUGGCAGGAGAGAGCUGUAGAUCCCCCCUUGCCCCUCCCUCCCCUCCCUCCCCCUCCUCUGAAAUUAGCCUCAUCAAUUCAGCUACAAUUUUUUAGUUCAGAUGCAGACACGGGACUGAACGUGACCAGACCUGGAGGUUUUGGCUUGCUGCUUGCCAGCGAUUGAGGCCGUCUGCAGCCAGGAGGUGAAAGGGGGGGAGCAGAGGGGACAGCCCCACCGCCUUCCCUCUCCCCACACCCCCGUCCUCCCCCUGUCUGCUUUACAAUCCAGGGGUCUGCGCCGGGGUCCCCGGAGAGCAGCACAUCUGGAUGCUGCUAGCGGGGUCAGGUCCCCCCUUGCCUAGGGCCACAAGAACUGGAGUUCAAUUAAAAGAAAUCACGGUUAACCCUUUGCUUUCCUCAUUACUCUUUCUUUUCCCCUGCCCUCUGUUCCCCCACCCACCCCCCGCAAAUACUCUCUUUGCCACUCCCGCUUCAGCGUUACCACAUGGCAGGCUGCAGCAACCAGAAAAGCAAGAGGUUAAAGGGAAGAGUGAAAUGCAUCCUUUCAAAACCCAAAUGGUUUCCUCUCUAGACAACACUCUCUACCAGCCCCGAAAAACAACGGGGGUGGGGGUGAGAGAGAGGACAGGCUGAGGAUCUUAACCGCGAAAGGAAGGGGAAAAAAAUACCCUGGAAGGAGCCUCUGUCAUCCACGGACCUCACAGAGCAGCUUGGUUUUGGGCUGCGUGACCGACAGGUCUUGGACGGGCUGGCGGUGGGGGAGAGCCGGGGAGCUGAGAGCGGCAGAGAGAAACCACCUGAAAACGUGCCCAGUUUGUGGGAGAGGAGCCCAGCAUUCGCAGAACACCCUUUCCCCAGCGCCGGGCUGGAGAGACAAACAAGUCCGGCACUCGCGGGGAGUCCCCAGUGCUCCCAAAGGCUGGAAGAUGUCAGGCAGACCCCCCUCCAUCCCACCUGGAGAUAUUUUAGGAACCCAGCUUUGCAUUUUAUUGCCAGACGGGCACCGUGACCCGCAGGGGUUUAUUUUGCAUGUCUGAGGAUGACUGGAAAUGAAGCCUGGUAGGGUCACUUGCUAGAUCGGCUCCAUCCAUCAGGGAUGUUCCGUGCUUUACCUUUUGUGUUUGGUCUAAAAUAAGACUUGCGAAAAGCUCGAGAGAUAAGGUAUUGAGUGAGGUUGUUAAACAUUGUAACAGACAAGCCGAACAAUCUCGUUUUCCUCCCAAAUAAUGCAACAAUAGAACCUUUACUUCAUCUUUUCUCUCCCCCCUCUCCCCCCCCUCCCCCCCAAAAAAAGGAAAAAAACCCAACCCAAACCACCCUUGAAUUAUCUCAAACUUUUUGAAAAAAGCUGGAAUAUUCAUAACCUCCGCACGCCAAGCUCUGAAUCAUCCUAGGUGAUUGUUCAGUGACUUUGGGUAUUUAACUGUUUGAGAAGAAGGGAGCACAGACAGGCGGGGGAAAGCAAAGCCAUCGCCGGGCAGGCUGCUGAUCAAUGUGCGCAACUUUUAAUUUGAUGCUCGACUUUUGGAUGCAUAUGUAUAUACAGUAAAGGAAUUAUGAUCUGUUUAAUGUGGUUACCACCAGA